AAGCCCCAAGGGUGAAAGAGCACUCAACUACCAUCAAGAAAGCGCUCUCGGCCUUUUGACGGUAACUCUUCAAGUAUUUCCAGAAAUAAUACAUCGACAGCAGAUAAAAACAGAUGCUGAAGCCUCCAUAACUCUCCAAUUUCCUUGUCUAGAAGUUUAUCUACUGCAUUGCUCUAGCUAAGUUUGACUGGAUCACUUUGGACCACUUUCCCUCUAGUGAUCUAUAUCUUCUACAACAAUGAGCACAGGAUUUAUAUCACUUCAAUAAUGUUUGGAAGAUGCUAGAAGACCCUGUAAAUGACCAAUAGGGAAAUGAGCUGUGGUGGUGCAGUGGUUAGAAUGCAGUAUUGCAGGCUAAUUCUGUUGACUGCCAGAGUUUGAUUCUCACCAGCUCAAGGUUGACUCAGCUCAAGGUUGACUCCAUCCUUCUGAGGUUGGUAAAAUGAGGACCCAGAUUGUUCCAGGCAAUAUGCUAACUCUGUAAACUGCUCAGAGAGGGCUGUAAAGCACUGUGGCAUGGUAUAUAAGUGCCAUUGCUAUUCCUAAAUGGAAAUAGUCUCCAUAAGACUAGGAAUUUUGUUCAAUGACAUAGCAUUGCUGUGGCCAACUUGAUGAAAAUCAAAAAUAAGCUGAAAUUUCAUAUAUUUCAGCAAUCCUGCAAGCUCUCAUGCAAGAAUACUGAAAACUUGCCAUUUUAAAAAAUAUUUUAAAUCUGA